rnacentral:rRNA from 1 species
UACCGAGGUCCCAAGCGUUGUUCGGAUUCACUGGGCGUAAAGGGUGCGUAGGUGGCUUGGUAAGUUUGAUGUGAAAUCUCCGGGCUUAACCCGGAAAUGGCAUUGAAUACUAUUGAGCUGGAGGUUUGGAGAGGAGACUGGAAUUUACGGUGUAGCGGUGAAAUGCGUAGAUAUCGUAAGGAAGACCAGUGGCGAAGGCGGGUCUCUGGACAGUUCCUGACGCUGAGGCACGAAGGUCAGGGGAGCAAACGGG